rnacentral:rRNA from 1 species
GCGCGAAAACUUUACAAUGCUGGCAACAGCGAUAAGGGAACCUCGAGUGCCAGGUUACAAAUCUGGCUGUCGAGAUGCCUAAAAAGCAUUUCAUAGCAAGGGCCGGGCAAGACCGGUGCCAGCCGCCGCGGUAACACCGGCGGCUCGAGUGGUAACCGUUAUUAUUGGGUCUAAAGGGUCUGUAGCCGGCCGGAUAAGUCUCUUGAGAAAUCUGGCAGCUUAACUGUCAGGCUUUCAGGAGAUACUGUCUGGCUCGAGGCCGGGAGAGGUGAGAGGUACUUCAGGGGUAGGGGUGAAAUCUUGUAAUCCUUGAAGGACCACCAGUGGCAAAGGCGUCUCACCAGAACGGACCUGACGGCAAGGGACGAAAGCUAGGGGCACGAACCG